AGAAUAUUAUUCCAAAUUCAUAAUUCGGCAAUUCAUGGCAAGCUUGCAAAACAUAUUUUGAUUUAUGAUUAAUCAUAAUAAUUAGGUAUGAAUGAAUGACCUUGAUCAAUUGAUAUGACAUAAUUCUUCUAUCCAAAACUGAGCAUUACGGAUAGCCAAUUUGAGAAUGACAUAUAAGGAAUCCUGGUGUAGGUUGACAAGAAUAGAUUCAGAAUAGAUCUGUAUUUACGUAGUGAUAUCAAUAAUAUACUAGUUCAUAUCUAUUGUUAAGCUAGUUUAGUAAAAAUCGUAUUUAUACUAGUAUGUAUUGGUAUAUAGUUACUUAAUGAAGUUAUAGCUUUAUAGCUGAUAAUAUAGGUUUUAUGACAUUGCAUCAUCUGCACACCACUCAGUAUAUUCUAAGUAUAGAGUGUCACAUGUGUGCCUGUCAAUCAAACUCCAUACGACUCUGUGCUAAGAUCUUCAUAUUGCUGAACCUAGCAGAUAUUAAUAUUUGCCAUACAAGGGUCUAAGCCUGGGCCGUAUGAGGUCAUGACGUUCACUUGUAACAUAUAUUUAAGCUUUGCUUUAAAGAAGGCUGGACACAUUUGCACCACACACUUACAUGACACACUGAUACACACUUAAACUAAGACACACUCAUUCACACCCUCUUUGAAAGACAACACUGACAUACUGACAUAUUGACAAGGAGAACAGCUGAAGCCAGAAGUCUAAGAACGUCAUUUCCUGCUUCACUUUGGAAAAUCUCUGAGACAAAAUGGCUUGAAGGCAGCUCACAUGCUUUCAUAAGCUUGCUACAAUACUAUCGAUCCAAUUCCAGAUAUUUUCAUCUACGCUAAACUGAACUUUAUACUAUUUUUCAUUGUGUUUGUGAUGCCACCUGUGUGACAAUAAACUCACACGUUAUUUUCAAAUCAACCUGACUAUGAAUGAUCUUCAUUCAGAUACGCCCUUGAAGCUAUAAGAAUAUUAGUUAUUAAUUUUACAUUCUUACAGUGGCGAGCCAAAGAAAGUACUGUCUUAUCUCUAUUUUUACGGAAAUCUCGACCCUUGAUGAGGGGGGGAGAGAUUGGCGCAGUUUUUGCGAAUAUUCAAGUCUCGAGAAAAAAGACGGUUCAGAACCUAUCAAGCAAGAGGCGUUUGUGUCACGUCAGAUGUGGACAACAGUCCAGUAACAGACGGUUGAUGACGAGAAAUCCUUCUAAUAACGAUAUGGCAUCUAAAAUCAAACAAAUAUGGAGGAUAACAAGCUUCUAUAAAGAGCAAAGAGAAAUUCAAAGUUAAAGAAGAGAUCCUUUUUGGAAGAAUAUUUGACAAAAGAUUUAUAUUUCAUAUUUAUGAACUAUUUUAUCUUAUUCAUCAAGGUUUUUCUAACGGAACUUGAAGAAGACAUUUUAAAGACAUUUCAUGAAGAAACAUUAAUCGGAAGGAACAUUAUCUAUCUAUUAUAGAUAAACAAUUUAGGACUGAAACAUUUGUCCACAUAUACAUUUUUUGAUUAUCCAAUUAUUAUGAUAUUAAUGUUCACAUGAAGUUAGGAUUAUUAUUUUUAUUUAUUUUUAUUUAUUCACAUAUUGAAUGUUAGCACACUCAUUCUAGUUAAUAGAACAUUUUUUGUUCAUAACUUAAGAAAGAUAUCAUUAAUAGAACUAUGGAAAGUUAUGAAAGUUUUAGAGUAUAAAGUAUAUUUCCAAAGAGCUAAAAUAUUAUUUGAGCACAUAUAUGGAAAUAUAUUAUUGCAUUAUUUACUUAUUUUAAUAAUAAUAAUUUUCAUUAUUAUUAUUAUUAUUAUUAUUAUUAAUAUUAAUAAUUAUUGAUAUUAGUCAUCAUUAUGUUAUACAUUUUUAAAAUCUAUACCAUUAUUUCUGGUAAGAUUUUGAUUAGAUAGAUCUAAGAAGAGUUAAAAGUAAAGAGUAAAGCAUUUAGGAAAAGGAAAAUUUCUAGUUGCUUCAGUUCUGAGGAAUAUCGUGUCCAAUCGUUUGAUACAAGGUGGAGAAAAUGAGAUAUGAAUGUAUGUAUGUGUGUAUUAAAUGAUUUAGUAUGAUUAAUCAUAAUUCAGGGGGGAUUGUUAGAAUAUUAUUCCAAAUUCAUAAUUCGGCAAUUCAUGGCAAGCUUGCAAAACAUAUUUUGAUUUAUGAUUAAUCAUAAUAAUUAGGUAUGAAUGAAUGACCUUGAUCAAUUGAUAUGACAUAAUUCUUCUAUCCAAAACUGAGCAUUACGGAUAGCCAAUUUGAGAAUGACAUAUAAGGAAUCCUGGUGUAGGUUGACAAGAAUAGAUUCAGAAUAGAUCUGUAUUUAUGUAGUGAUAUCAAUAAUAUACUAGUUCAUAUCUAUUGUUAAGCUAGUUUAGUAAAAAUCGUAUUUAUACUAGUAUGUAUUGGUAUAUAGUUACUUAAUGAAGUUAUAGCUUUAUAGCUGAUAAUAUAGGUUUUAUGACAUUGCAUCAUCUGCACACCACUCAGUAUAUUCUAAGUAUAGAGUGUCACAUGUGUGCCUGUCAAUCAAACUCCAUACGACUCUGUGCUAAGAUCUUCAUAUUGCUGAACCUAGCAGAUAUUAAUAUUUGCCAUACAAGGGUCUAAGCCUGGGCCGUAUGAGGUCAUGACGUUCACUUGUAACAUAUAUUUAAGCUUUGCUUUAAAGAAGGCUGGACACAUUUGCACCACACACUUACAUGACACACUGAUACACACUUAAACUAAGACACACUCAUUCACACCCUCUUUGAAAGACAACACUGACAUACUGACAUAUUGACAAGGAGAACAGCUGAAGCCAGAAGUCUAAGAACGUAAUUUCCUGCUUCACUUUGGAAAAUCUCUGAGACAAAAUGGCUUGAAGGCAGCUCACAUGCUUUCAUAAGCUUGCUACAAUACUAUCGAUCCAAUUCCAGAUAUUUUCAUCUACGCUAAACUGAACUUUAUACUAUUUUUCAUUGUGUUUGUGAUGCCACCUGUGUGACAAUAAACUCACACGUUAUUUUCAAAUCAA